rnacentral:lncRNA from 1 species
UAGGCAUGGAAAGUAUCUCAAUCCCAUUAACAAAAGCAUAAGAGUUUGGCGAGGGAGAAAAGGUCACAUCAAGAAUCUGAGUUUCAUCAACAUUAAUGACAAAUUCUUUUCGAAGAGCUUUACUAGAAUCGGUAACUGCAGCGAGAGCGCUGAAGUUUCUCAAGAGGGUUAAAUGAUUAGCUGUGACGGAGAAAAAAGAUUCAGCUUUGUUGAAGCCAGAGUAAUUGGCGGGGUAAAAAUAGAGACGGAGGAAUUUGGCGCCAGGGGAAACACGGAAAGUGUAAGUGAAUCGAGAUUUCAUGAUACGAGCACCAGUCGUAUAAGGAACUCUAUUGACCGAAGGAUCUUGUUCAGAAGCUGUGGCAGUUGUGGAUAUGUUUGAAAAGUCGGAAGGUAAGAAAUUUGGGAAGUGAGUAUCAGUAUCCCAUCGACGGUCAGUUUCAUCGGUGGUGGCUGAUUGUGCGCCACAGUUAAGCAAGACAUAAACAGUGGCGUUAUACGGUAGCGGCGUGGUAGAAAUAGUGGCCGUUAUGAGUUGUAAGAAGAGAAAGAAAAGUAAAGUAAUGGUUGCCAUGGCGCUGUCUUGAAAAACUAUGUACGUGCUAUACUGAUAUUUGUUGUGCAGAUAUAUACAGUAGCUGUUCGAAGAUCAAGUCAUUUCUAAUUUUCUGUAUUAAAAACCGACAUAAUUUUGUUUUUGUACAAAAGUAACUUAUUAUAAGUGCACCAAAUAAAUGGAGUAAAACUCAGUGAGGCAAGAGUUGACUUCAUCGAAGAAUGUAAGUGAAAUUACUAUUAGGAUUAUUGCACUAAAGAAGGGGACCAUAUAUGUACCCAAGAAAAUACACAGAGAAAUAGAAAUGGCAGAGGAAAAGUUGUUAAUUGGGGGUGUAUAUCUUUUUCUUGUAGGCCAUGAAUGCUGCCUUUCAUUUUCAUAAUAAUCUGUUAUGUUCCACUGGAGCAAUAGUCGGUUUGCUUGAAAGGAAAGGUUUUGGGUUAUUUUCUUUGGAAUUUGGAUGAUUCUUUGUCCAAUUCUGCAAACUUCCUUAACUUCCGGCUGAUUCUGACAAAAAUGGAGCCUGAAAAGAUAAUAGAAACCAGAAUCUAGAGGGAAUAUCCAAUCCAGGCUCUGGCUGUUAUUGGCCAUGGUCCUAGAGGUUACGUAAAUCAUAUUGUUAAAUUAGUUCUUAGGCCUAACUCACACCCCAAAAGCUAACUCAAAAGGAGAAGGAUUGCCCAAGCCUUAUAAGGAGUCCACCCAUCUCAUUAACCACCGAUGUGGGACUUUUGUCAUUCUUUAACACAUAUACAACAACAAAUUCUGCAAACCAAUUCUGCAAACUUCCUUAAGGCGGGGUUUCAGUAGUGUAAGUGAUGUUGACAUCAAAUUUAGGAGUUUGAAAGCCAUAUACAACAACAAAUUCCUCAUAUACACGAUACAUCCCUGUAUCCUCCGUGCUAGCAAUUGAAUGUCCUCCGACGUUCAGCCUGUACAAAGUUUCAAGAGCAGUGUCGUUAUAGAUGGAAUAAGGAUCAUUCUGGCCCACCAAUUUGAUGCGAUUAUCUCCACCGAUGUAAAGAUUGGUGGGCAUGGAAACUAUCUCAAUCCCAUUAACAAAAGCAUAAGAGUUUGGCGAGGGAGAAAAGGUUAUAUUGAGUAUCUGAAAUUCAUUAACAUUAAUGACAAAUUCUUUUCGAACAGCUUUACUAGAAUUGGUACUUGCAGCGACUGUAUAGAAAGCGCUGAAGUUACUCAAGAGGGUAAAAUGAUUAGCAGUGACUGAAAAAAAA